rnacentral:rRNA from 1 species
GGGCGUAAGCGCGCGCAGGUGGUUUCUUACGUCUGAUGUGAAAGCCCACGGCUCAACCGUGGAGGGUCAUUGGAAACUGGGAGACUUGAGUGCUGAAGAGGAAAGUGGAAUUCCAUGUGUAGCGGUGAAAUGCGUAGAGAUAUGGAGGAACACCAGUGGCGAAGGCGACUUUCUGGUCUGUAACUGACACUGAAGCACGAAAGCGUGGGGAGCAAACAGGAUUAGAUACCCUGGUAGUCCACGCCGUAAACGAUGAGUGCUAAGUGUUAGAGGAUUUCCGCCCUUUACUGCUGAAGUUAACGCAUUAAGCACUCCGCCUGGGGAGUACGGCCGCAAGGCUGAAACUCAAAGGAAUUGACGGGGGCCCGCACAAGCGGUGGAGCAUGUGGUUUAAUUCUAAGCAACGCGAAGAACCUUACCAGGUCUUGACAUCCUCUGAAAACCCUAGAGAUAGGGCUUCUCCUUCUGGAGCAUAGUGACAGGUGGUGCAUGGUUGUCCUCAGCUCGUGUCGUGAGAUGUUGGGUUAAGUCCCGCAACGAGCGCAACCCUUGAUCUUAGUUGCCAUCAUUAAGUUGGGCACU